rnacentral:rRNA from 1 species
CGCUGGCGGCGUGCCUACACAUGCAAGUCGUACGAGAAACUCUUUAAGCUUGCUUAGAGAUAGUAAAGUGGCGCACGGGUGAGUAACGCGUGGGCAAUCUGCCUCCAAGAUCGGGAUAACUCGCCGAAAGGCGUGCUAAUACCGGAUAAUAUUUUAGGAACGCAUGUUCCAAAAAUCAAAGAUGGCCUCUACAUGUAAGCUGUUGCUUGGAGAGGAGCCCGCGUACCAUUAGCUUGUUGAUAGGGUAACGGCCUACCAAGGCUGCGAUGGUUAGCUGGUCUGAGAGGAUGACCAGUCACAUUGGAACUGAAACACGGUCCAGACUCCUACGGGAGGCAGCAGUGAGGAAUUUUGCGCAAUGGGGGAAACCCUGACGCAGCAACGCCGCGUGAGUGAAGAAGGCCUUUGGGUUGUAAAGCUCUGUCAAGUGGGAAGAAACUAUUCGAUGCAAAUACCAUCGGGUACUGACGGUACCGCUAAAGGAAGCACCGGCUAACUCCGUGCCAGCAGCCGCGGUAAUACGAAGGGC